CCUACGGGUGACAGCAGUGAGGAAUAUUGGUCAAUGGACGCAAGUCUGAACCAGCCAUGCCGCGUGCAGGAAGACGGCUCUAUGAGUUGUAAACUGCUUUUGUACGAGGGUAAACGCAGAUACGCGUAUCUGUCUGAAAGUAUCUUACGAAUAAGGAUCGGCUAACUCCGUGCCAGCAGCCGCGGUAAUACGGAGGAUUCAAGCGUUAUCCGGAUUUAUUGGGUUUAAAGGGUGCGUAGGCGGUCGGAUAAGUUAGAGGUGAAAUCCCGAGGCUCAACUUUGGAAUUGCCUUUGAUACUGGUAGGCUAGAGAAUAGUUGCGGUAGGCGGAAUGUGUGGUGUAGCGGUGAAAUGCUUAGAGAUCACACAGAACCCCGAUUGCGAAGGCAGCUUACCAAGCUACUUCUGACAUUGAGGCACGAAAGCGUGGGGAGCAAACAGGAUUAGAUACCCGAGUAGUC
rnacentral:rRNA from 1 species